CCUACGGGAGGCUGCAGUGAGGAAUAUUGGUCAAUGGACGAGAGUCUGAACCAGCCAAGUAGCGUGAAGGAUGACUGCCCUAUGGGUUGUAAACUUCUUUUAUAUGGGAAUAAAAUGUUCCACGUGUGGGCUUUUGUAUGUACUAUAUGAAUAAGGAUCGGCUAACUCCGUGCCAGCAGCCGCGGUAAUACGGAGGAUCCGAGCGUUAUCCGGAAUUAUUGGGUUUAAAGGGUGCGUAGGUGGAUUGUUAAGUCAGUUGUGAAAGUUUGCGGCUCAACCGUAAAAUUGCAGUUGAAACUGGCAGUCUUGAGUACAGUAGAGGUGGGCGGAAUGCGUGGUGUAGCGGUGAAAUGCUUAGAUAUCGCGAAGAACUCCGAUUGCGAAGGCAGCUCACUGGACUGCAACUGACACUGAGGCUCGAAAGUGUGGGUAUCAAACAGGAUUAGAUACCCUUGUAGUC
rnacentral:rRNA from 1 species